rnacentral:rRNA from 1 species
AUUGAACGCUGGCGGCAGGCCUAACACAUGCAAGUCGAACGAGUGGCGGACGGGAGAGUAAUGUCUGUGACAUUGCCUGAUGGAGGGGGUUAAUUACUGGAAACGGUACUUAAUCCCGCAUAGCAUCAGAUGUGCCUAGAUGGGAUUAGCUUGUUGGUGGGGGACCGGCUCACCAACGCGACGAUCCCUAGCUGGUCUGGACGGAUGACCGCCCACACUGGAACUGGGACAGGGCCCGGCCUCCUACGGAGGGCAGCAUUGGGGAAUAUUGCACAAGGGCCGCAAGCCUAAUGCAGCAAUGCGGCGUGUAUGAGAAGGGCCUUCGGGUUGUAAAGUACUUUCAGCGGGAAGGCGUUAACCAAAGAAGAAGCACCGGCUAACUCCGUGCCAGCAGCCGCGGUAAUAC